UAAGUCGGGACCUAAGCCGAGGCCGCAAGGCGUAGGCGAUGGACAAUCGGUUGAGAAUCCGAUACCACCAAAUACCGUUUGAGUGAAGGAGUGACGCAGGAGGGUAAGUCAAGCCAGCGGUUGGAAAAGCUGGUCCAAGCCCGUAGGGUAAGAGAUAGGCAAAUCCGUCUCUUGUAAAGCCUGAGAGGUGAAGGGGAGCGAAAACAAGUAGCGAAGUGGCUGAUCCCAAACUGCCAAGAAAAGCUUCUAGCGAGGUAAAAGGUGCCCGUACCGCAAACCGACACAGGUAGGUGGGGUGAGAAUCCUAAGGCGCGCGAGAGAACCCUCGUUAAGGAACUCGGCAAAAUGACCCCGUAACUUAGGGAGAAGGGGUGCCUCUAUAUCGUGACACAUUAACUUGUAGAGCGAGAAGAGGCCGCAGAGAAAAGGCCCAAGCGACUGUUUACCAAAAACACAGGUCCCUGCUAAAGCGAAAGCUGACGUAUAGGGGCUGACGCCUGCCCGGUGCUGGAAGGUUAAGGGGAAGUGUUAGACGCAAGUCGAAGCAGAGAAC
rnacentral:rRNA from 1 species